GACGAACGCUGGCGGCGUGCUUAACACAUGCAAGUCGAACGAUGAAGCCGGAGCUUGCUCUGGUGAAUUAGUGGCGAACGGGUGAGUAACACGUGAGUAACCUGCCCUUGACUCUGGGAUAACUGCGGGAAACUGUAGCUAAUACCGGAUACGACCCUCGGAGGCAUCUCCUGGGGGUGGAAAGAAUUUCGGUCAAGGAUGGACUCGCGGCCUAUCAGCUAGUUGGUGAGGUAAAGGCUCACCAAGGCGACGACGGGUAGCCGGCCUGAGAGGGUGACCGGCCACACUGGGACUGAGACACGGCCCAGACUCCUACGGGAGGCAGCAGUGGGGAAUAUUGGACAAUGGGGGCAACCCUGAUCCAGCCAUGCCGCGUGCGUGAAGAAGGCCUUCGGGUUGUAAAGCACUUUCAGCAGGGAGGAAGGCUUUGGCCGAAUAGGUUGAAGUACUUGACGUUACCUGCAGAAGAAGCACCGGCUAA
rnacentral:rRNA from 1 species